CCCUUAGAUGUUCUGGGCUGCACGCGUGCUACACUGAUAUUGCCAAUAUGUCAUUCUUAUCCGAAAUGGAUUGGGUAAUCAAGUAAUGAAAUUUCAUGCUUGGAAUCGGUAAUUGCAAUUUUAUCGUGAACGAGGAAUUCCUAGUAAGCACUAGUCAUCAGCUAAUGUUGAUUAUGUCCCUGCCCUUUGUACACACCGCCCGUCGCUACUACUGAUUGGGUGUUCAAGUGAGAUGCUUAGACCCUUGUUGCAUGGUUCAUUAUUGUGCUCCGAAAGGAAAAAGUUUCAAGCUUGAGUGCCUAGAGGAAGUAAAAGUCGUAACA
rnacentral:rRNA from 1 species